rnacentral:rRNA from 1 species
AACGAACGCUGGCGGCAGGCCUAACACAUGCAAGUCGAACGCCCCGCCAGGGGAGUGGCAGACGGGUGAGUAACACGUGGGAACCUUCCCUAUAGUACGGAAUAGCCCAGGGAAACUUGGAGUAAUACCGUAUACGCCCGAAAGGGGAAAGAAUUUCGCUAUAGGAUGGGCCCGCGUAGGAUUAGCUAGUUGGUGAGGUAAUGGCUCACCAAGGCGACGAUCCUUAGCUGGUUUGAGAGAACGACCAGCCACACUGGGACUGAGACACGGCCCAGACUCCUACGGGAGGCAGCAGUGGGGAAUAUUGGACAAUGGGCGCAAGCCUGAUCCAGCCAUGCCGCGUGAGUGAUGAAGGCCUUAGGGUUGUAAAGCUCUUUUGGCGGGGACGAUAAUGACGGUACCCGCAGAAUAAGUCCCGGCUAACUUCGUGC